rnacentral:rRNA from 1 species
UGGGGAAUAUUGGGCAAUGGACGAAAGUCUGACCCAGCCAUGCCGCGUGAAUGAUGAAGGCCUUAGGGUUGUAAAGUUCUUUUGCAGGGGACGAUGAUGACGGUACCCUGAGAAUAAGCUCCGGCUAACUUCGUGCCAGCAGCCGCGGUAAUACGAAGGGAGCUAGCGUUGUUCGGAAUCACUGGGCGUAAAGCGUGCGCAGGCGGCUUUUUAAGCCAGAGGUGAAAUGCCAGGGCUCAACCCUGGAACUGCCUUUGGAACUGAAAAGCUGGAGUCUCGGAGAGGUUCGGGGAAUUCCUAAUGUAGCGGUGAAAUGCGUAGAUAUUAGGAGGAACACCAGUGGCGAAGGCGCCGAACUGGACGAGUACUGACGCUCAUGCACGAAAGCGUGGGGAUCAAACAG